rnacentral:lncRNA from 1 species
GCCUCGGGUAAGGCUCCACAGUGUGAUGGACAAACUGAAGUGGGACCUGGAUCUUCUCCUUCGAUCUGCUUAGGAAUUGCUGAUCCUCUCCUAUAGAUCACAAUGAAGAAAACACAGUAGAUAUUGGAAACUAGUAAAACAGACGUUAAAGCAACCCUAAGAUAAAAAGCUGUGAAGGCAAGACAAAGAAAAGAGUGACCUUCAUUUAGCUGCUGCUCGUCAAAGUGCCUCGGAAAAGCAGCCUGGAGAGGAGGACUUCCAGCACCUUUCCGAAAGAUCACCCAGCUCCUGCACAGGGAUGCUGUCACAGCUAAGAUUCCACG